ensembl:lncRNA
GCUGAGGGGAUGUGGAGGUGCACUCUGCAUUUGCAUUUCUGCACAAGAUCCCAGGACUCAUCAAGAGAACAAGCCCCAAUGAGAUAUCGAGAGAAGACGAAAUCCCCGAAGUCAAGUGCAUUUCUAUCAGUGUUCGUCACACAGAAAGGUGCCAACACGCCUUUAAUGGUCCCGCCCACAGUGUGGAUUUUAUGAAUGGCUUUGGGGGAUGAGAUGAUAUCAGAGACAGAGAGAGACCAGGUCACGAGUUCACACCUUCGGCGCUACCUGCCGUCAUCGUAUCCCGGGCUGCCAUGAUCAUCAGCAGACAGGGUUACUGUUGUGUCUGUGACAUUUUCCCUGGAGACAUGUUCCAGAUGUGACAGCCGUGGAAAAUAUGUGUCCAACUUUUCAAUACAUGUUAAUGUGUGUUGCUUUAAGUCUACUUAUCCCUUGCAGGUGAACAUUUUCUGUUUAGC